GUCGGCUAUGGUGAUAUGGUGCCAAAAACUUAUAUCGGUAUGUUUGUGGGCGCUUUAUGUGCUCUAGCCGGUGUCCUAACAAUUGCACUGCCAGUACCGGUUAUUGUUAGUAAU
rfam:Glossina fuscipes fuscipes unplaced genomic scaffold Scaffold290, whole genome shotgun sequence.